rnacentral:misc_RNA from 1 species
GAUGAAAGAACGUAGCGAAAUGCGAUACGUAAUGUGAAUUGCAGAAUUCAGUGAAUCAUCGAGUCUUUGAACGCACAUUGCGCCCCCUGGUAUUCCGGGGGGCAUGCCUGUCCGAGCGUCAUUGCUGCCCUCAAGCACGGCUUGUGUGUUGGGCCUCCGUCCUCCUCCCGGGGGACGGGCCCGAAAGGCAGCGGCGGCACCGCGUCCGGUCCUCGAGCGUAUGGGGCUUCGUCACCCGCUCUUGUAGGCCCGGCCGGCGCUUGCCGACACAUCAAUCUUUUUUCCAGGUUGACCUCGGAUCAGGUAGGGAUACCCGCUGAACUUAAGCAUAUCAAUAAGCGGAGGA